rnacentral:siRNA from 1 species
UAAAUAGGGUGUGAAUAGUUAC